AAAGGGUCUCGUUGGUGACCAGCGGAGGGACAUUACCGAGUUUACAACUCCCAAACCCCAAUGUGAACGUUACCAAACUGUUGCCUCGGCGGGAUUUCUGCCCCGGGCGCGUCGCAGCCCCGGACCAAGGCGCCCGCCGGAGGACCAAUUUACAAACUCUUUUGUAUAUCCCAUCGCGGAUUCUUUACAUUCUGAGCUUUCUCGGCGCUCCUAGCGAGCGUUUCGAAAAUGAAUCAAAACUUUCAACAACGGAUCUCUUGGUUCUGGCAUCGAUGAAGAACGCAGCGAAAUGCGAUAAGUAAUGUGAAUUGCAGAAUUCAGUGAAUCAUCGAAUCUUUGAACGCACAUUGCGCCCGCCAGUAUUCUGGCGGGCAUGCCUGUCCGAGCGUCAUUUCAACCCUCGAACCCCUCCGGGGGGUCGGCGUUGGGGAUCGGCACUUACCUGCCGGCCCCGAAAUACAGUGGCGGUCUCGCCGCAGCCUCUCCUGCGCAGUAGUUUGCACACUCGCACCGGGAGCGCGGCGCGUCCACGGCCGUAAAACAACCCAAACUUCUGAAAUGUUGACCUCGGAUCAGGUAGGAAUACCCGCUGAACUUAAGCAUAUCAAUAAGCGGAGGA
rnacentral:rRNA from 1 species